ensembl:lncRNA EDRF1-DT EDRF1 divergent transcript
AGUGCGCCUGCGCUUGUCCGAACCUCUUCGGGAGACUACUUCUCGCGGUAUCUGACUCCUAGGCUCCGCCCUCUGCACGCCGCUCACGGCUGGGAAGUUCAAGCACAUGGCUCUAGCUUCUGGUGAGAGGUUUCAGGCUGCGUCAUAAUAUGGCAGAGAAGAUCAAUGGGUAAAUGGACAUGUGUGAAGAAAGGCAAAACCAGAGACCGUCCAGGCUGGACUUGAACUCCUUCCUCGGCUGAAGUGAUCCUCCUGCCUCAGCGUCCUGAAUAGGAAGUGGAGCCAGAAUCCACAGAUGUCAUUAUCCAUCUGCACACUUUGUUUACUACCCAGAAGGCAAGAAUAUUGCAUUUUAAAAGUGCCCGGACUUUUGUUCUUUCUUAUCACAAAUGACUUGGGAAGCUCCGACCACUCAUGUUUACCCCGAGUGAAAGUCCCAUUCAAAGCCUUGCUUCCUGGAGAGCUUUGAGAUUCUGGUACAAAAGGCAUUUUAUAAGCACAAAGUGGAAAAGCAUCAUUCAUAUUCAUUUGCUGCUGCGGCAUUUCUCCCUGGAAUCUUCCUCUUGUCUGUCAACAUUGGGCAAAAGGACUGGCCUCAUCUACAUUACAGAUAUCCUUGUGAUGGUCUGGAGGUAGGAAAAGGACACCCAGCACAAGAGUGAGAAGGGAAACUCAAGCUCUCCUGUUGGAGAGUCUCAGGCUUCUUUAUCCAUAAAACUGAUUGGACAUAAUUGGUGUGGGUUUAUGAUUUGUUUUGGAAAAACCUGAGUAUGAAAUCAAUACUGUGCUUUGUGCA